rnacentral:rRNA from 1 species
GACAGGGGAUGCAAGCGUUAUCCGGAAUGAUUGGGCGUAAAGCGUCUGUAGGUGGCUUAAAAAGUCUCCUGUCAAAGAUCAGGGCUUAACCCUGGGCCGGCAGGAGAAACUCUUAGGCUAGAGUUUGGUAGGGGCAGAGGGAAUUCUCGGUGUAGAGGUGAAAUUCGUAGAUAUCGAGAGGAACACCGGUGGCGAAAGCGGCCUUCUGGACGAGGACUGACGCUGAGGCGCGAAAGCUAGGGGAGCAAACAGG